CUGCCUCAGCCCAAUUCAAACAUCUCAAAGAGUGACAAGCUGACCUGAAAGAUUUAUAUAAUAACGGAGUGAGCUAAAAACAGCUCAGCAAGUGACAAAGCAUAUCUAGCAUGAGAAGGGACAGUUUCAAACAAACAAGAUAUCACAAUGCAAGGCAGAAUACAAGAAUUCUCGAGGAUACCAUCUCAUUAGAUACAAAUCAUAUGUGUCAUGUCAUUCAAAACAUAUUUGGUUCAUAACAAAUGGAGCAUAGAGUAAUUGGAGUAUAUCAAU
rnacentral:lncRNA from 1 species